rnacentral:ncRNA from 1 species
AAAUCUGUUUAAUUUAAAAUUUUAAAUAAAAAAAGUUUUAUUUUAGCUUAAAGAAUAAAUAUAUAAUUUUUUUACAUAUAAAUUUAAUUUUAAAUAUUAUAAUAAUGUAGUGAUUAAUAUUAUUAAUUUAAAAAAUUUAGAAUUAGAAAUUUAUUUUAGUUCAAACUAAAAUUGUGCCAGCAGUUGCGGUUAUACAAUUUGAAUAAUUUAUAUGAAUUAAUUGUAAUAAAUUAAAUUAAUAUAAAUUAAUUUACAAUUUAUUAGGUGAAAUUUUAAAUUGGAUUUUUUUAUAGAAAUUAAAUUAUUUAUUAAAUUUUAUAAAAAACUAGGAUUAGAUACCCUAUUAUAUAAAUGUAAAUUAAUAAUUAGAUUAUUAAAAGUUAAAUUCUCUAAAAUUAAAAAUUUUGGCGGUAUUUUAGUCUUUUUAGAGGAAUCUGUUGAUUUAAAUUGAUACUCCACGAUUUAAUUAAUUUAAUUUAUAAGCUUAUAUAUCGUUGUAGUUAAAUUUUUUAUUAGAAAUUUAAUAUUUAAAAUUUAUUAUAAUAAUUUAAAUCAAAUCAAGAUGUAGUUUAUAAUUAAGAAUUAAUGGAUUACAUUAAAUUUAUUUAUAGUAUUAUUUUUUAAAAACUUAAUUAAAUUGGAUUUAAUAGUAAUAAAUAAAAAUUUAUUUUAUGAUUUAGUUCUAUAAUAUGCACAUAUUGCCCGUCACUUUCACUUAAAAUGGAAUAAGUCGUAACAUAGUAGAUUUACUGGAAAGUGAAUCUAGAUUUA